rnacentral:lncRNA from 1 species
CUCGUUUGCCAUUUCUUCCGAUUUGCCGCCGGCGAAGGAAGAUGUCACUGUUGGCCAUCAGGAAAUUAAUACCUAGGUUAUCCCAGAUCUACAUGUCGUUUCUUUUCUCUGAGUUUUGCUUCCAUGGGGUGGUGGCGCAUGUGGCUGGGUGAGUGCACGGAUCGCGGCAACCUCGUUGAGUCUGGAGACAUGGCCACGGAGAUUGCCAAGGAGAAUUUGGGUUGUGCUGCUCAUACUUGCCAUCGCCGGGUGCUUUGGAUGUUGGUGGUGCGGAGGUAGCGAGGGAGCUCACGGAGCAGGGAUGUGAGGCAGCUUCUGCGGGCGGCUUUUGUUGUCCUGUUCAUUGUUGGUGUUGUCUGGAGUCCUAUCAAAUGUAAGUGUUACAGCAAUCAUAUAAGUUUUGGUGAAGGGGAAUGAUCUAGAAAUCAAAAUAAGUUUUUUUUAUCAUUACAUUGCUAGUAAACAAUACUCAUACCACAACUUUCCUUGUGGAAAAUGACACUUAGACUUAGUCCUCUAAAUUUUGCAGUAGAGAACAGAGUAAGGAAAACAUAUGGACCUGCCUGAAUUAAGUUGAUCUGAACCUAGCAAGCGAUUCUUCCAUCUAAUUACUGAUGCAUAGGAAAAAAGGAGGUUUACAUGCACUUUUACUCAGCCAGAUAGCAAAAGCAUCAGCUUGAUGUGAGACAUGCAUGUGCCUAGUUGCAGGUUAAGUUCUAAAUUUCAGUUAUUUUCAUGGGGCUAGUGUUCUUUCUGGAUUCUUACAUCUUAAUUACCACACAGAGGCAAUGGUAUAUGGUGAACACAUGGAUGCAAGGCAUCUGAAGUAUCCACAUCCAUUGUCUUGAAUCUUGCUUCUGAAAUCUUGUUGUCUAAUUGUAGAGUUUUGAGGCCUGAAUUAAGGUUCCUGCCACUUUUAUAAAUGUUGCAGGGCAGUACAUUUAUGGUUUCUGUACACCUUUUUUCUUUCUGGAUUCGGCAACCUUUUGUGCCCAACCAAUAUUGCUGUAUAAUGGUAUAUUAUGUCUUCCAGCUCAUCCAUGGCUCUCCACUAUAAAGUGUUAUGUUCUUUUAUUUGUUGUUACCAUGUCCUAGCAAGAAGGCCUUAAUUUGGUUCAUAUCUGUUAAUUGACAUGCAAUGGUUUGGUUUUUAUAUGUGUUGGUGGUGUAGAUGAUAUUGAAGAUCUAUUAAUGGUUUUAUUAAACUGAAAAGGCUGUAUAAGGUAUAGGUGUUUAUUACCUAGGACAAUAGCUGUCAAAAUUGCAUGUCUUCCAAAAAUUACAAUAUGAAGUGCUUUUGAUAGUGUUAACAUUUGCACUGUUAUUAUCUAAUAAGUAUCCUUCUUAUCCUGGUCAAUGUCAAGUACUCUUCCUAAAUCUUUGUGUGUACAUUAGUCUGCCUUACUAUUUAAUUAAUAAGCAACUUAUACAUUAAUUUAUGGAUUGUUUCUUUGUUUUCCUAGGCUGUAAUUAUCCAUCAUUAUUCUGUGACUGUAAAAUGAAAUGCAUUUAAAAAUAAUACAUGCGUAAAAAUCUAAAAGUGCGUAUGGUGGAAAAAUCAAUCUCCCUUUUAGCUGGCAUGUCUUGCUUCUUCGUUUCUUGUUCCAACAUGGUGUCCACUUUGUCAUCUAUCAACUGCUUGGCAUACUGCAAGAUAAUCAGCGAGGAAAAACAGAAAAGAUAAUAGCUAUUUAUUUUAAUGAAUUAAAUGCACCUUUACCUCCUUGUCUUUAUUGUUCAAGUACAACAUCUCAAGCCAGGCAUAAAUGUUUCGUUAGAUGACAGACAUCUAGCAUCUGAGUCUUCAUCGUUAAGCAAUGUAUGUAUGAUUUUUACUUCAAUGUGUUAUCAGUAGAUCAGAAUAGAUAGUGUUUCAUACUUGUGAAGAAGUUAUUGAAUUUUGGUUAUGUCUAGAUCCGUACGUAUUCUUGUGUUACCUCUUGACUUUAGGCACAAACCCAUCAACAAUUAAUCUGUUACAUAUUUUAGUUUUUGAAAUUAUUGGACUUACCAUUCAAUGUUUGCACCAUUGUUUAGGUCACCGUAAGACGGUCUGGUUUUGGAUUACAUAUUCAUUCAAAUAAUAAGUAAAAAUUCCCAUAUCAUAACUUUGGUUUCAGCCCAAAAUGUUAAGCCUAAAAAUUUGAUGCCGACCACAAUGGAAGAAGUAUAAUUAAAAUUUAAGACAUUGGUAUACACCGCGCACUUACUAUGGUAUUAGAAAUUCAAUAUUACGGUUACAUAUCGUUUUUAUUUAUUUAUUGUUCCACAUGCUUCAUUUGGUUAAGUAGUCCGAUGACAUCUGUCAUUUUGGUGAUUAAUAACCCAUAGUUAGAAUGUUAUGGCCGGCCGGCUUAGGCCCGCAAGUUAUCUUAGUUUUUAUUUUCAGAUUAGGCAAGUUAUCUUAGGCAAGUUAUCUUAGGUUGAUUCUUCUACAAGUUAUCUAGGAUAUAAAUAUAGGUUGUAAGACUCUUUUUGAAGGCAAGCAAUAAGAAGAAUAUUAUCUCCUAUUACCCGGCUCCCUGAGGAGCCGGAACCCUAGCCGCCAACAGCCCUAGCCGCCGCCCUUCUCCUAGCCGCGACGGCGCCCUGCCGCCGGCGCGCCCGAUCCUCGCCACGUCUCCCUCCAUCCUUCCCUUACCACCUACGCCCUAGACCUGGUAGAGUACUUGAUCCUACCAAUUUGGUAUCAGGUAACCGGGUUUCGACCAUGUCUCCGCCAAUUCCACCGCCACCACCACCGCUGCCCGCCAACUCCUCCACCACCGCCGCCUCUGCGCCGGGCGUCACGGCCUCGCUCUCGGCGGGCACCACUGCGUCGCUCUCAGCGCCGGUCCUAACGGCACCCGGCACCACGCCGGGCCAAGGGCAGCCACAGGCCCCCGUCCAACACUCGUCGCCGCCAUCACCUCCCCCGCAGCCGCAACAGUUCACGCCGGAGGCCAUGGCGGGCGUCCUCAACGACCUCGUCACCGCGGUUCAAGGGAUCCGCCUCUACCUGGCAGGUCCGUACGGGCCGCCCCCACCACUCCAUCCAGCCAUGGCCGCGGGUCAGCAGGCGCUUCCGUGGUACUCGGCAUCGGGGGCCAUCACCGGACUCCAUCCAGCCAUGGCCGCGGGUCAGCAGGCGCUUCCGUGGUACUCGGCACCGGGGGCCGUCACCGGAGGCUACCCGGCGCUCCCCGCCCCAGCGGCCGCACGGCCGCCUUGGGCGCAGUGGCUGCCGCAGAUCGCGCCGGCAGCCCCGCCACUUCUCGCCACCACGGGGCCGCAGUGGCCCACCUGGACCGCGCCGGCCGCGCCGUCCUCUGUCACGCCCUACCUUCCAGCGGCCUCGGAGCAGGGUCCUCCACCGGCCCCGCCCAGCCCUAACCUGGGCACCGGCGCCUCGGAGCAGGGCCAGACCCAGCAGCUUCUUCCGGCGUCACCGCCGGCCCCCACGCCGCAGGCGCCGGUGCAGCUCCACCAGGCGCCGCCGCCAUCGACAGUACCACCACCCGCGCCUAGGGCUACGGGUCGGCCCCUGCACCAGGUGCAGUUUCCACCGUCACCAUCGCCGAUCCCCGCUUGGGCGACCGGCUCGUCUUCGGGGCCGGUCUACUCCACGGCGCCGGAACACCCGACGUCCUCCCUGCGGUUUGAUCACCCCUCCAGCUCGGCGAACUACGCCCCGGCGCUUCCCGACCCAGCAUACGCGCCAGCGGCAACUACGGCCGCCCCCGGGCACGGCGGGCCGACACCCCCUCGCUUCGCCAAACUGGACUUCGCCACCUACAAGGGCACGGAGGACCCCCUCAACUGGCUCAACCAGUGCGAGCAGUUCUUUCGAGGGCAGCGGACGCUCGCUUCGGAUCGCACCUGGCUCGCGUCCUAUCAUCUUCGAGGCGCAGCGCAGACCUGGUACUACGCCCUCGAGCAGGACGAGGGCGGCAUGCCACCAUGGGAGCGCUUCCGGGAACUCUGUCUCCUCCGGUUCGGGCCUCCUAUCCGCGGGAGCCGACUGGCGGCCCUCGGCCGCUUACCCUUCACAUCCACGGUGCAGGACUACGCCGACCGCUUCCAGGCCCUGGCGUGCCACGCGCCGGGCGUCUCCGCAACUCAGCGCGCCGAGUUAUUUGUGGGCGGUCUACCGGACCAUAUCCGCGUGGACGUGGAGCUUCGGGGACCCCAGGAUCUCCAGUCGGCCAUGUAUUACGCCCGCGCAUUCGAGCGCCGCGCGGUGGCCAUCCAGCAGGAAUCACCGUCCCAGACUGCUGGGUCGCUACCCGGACCGGAUUCCGCGCAGGGUCUUCCUGUGCAGGCUUCUGCGGCACCCCUCGUCGCGACCGCGGGGCGCCCGUUCCGCCGGCUCACUCCAGCUGAGAUACUCGAGCGUCGCCGCCAAGGGUUGUGCUUCAACUGCGACGAACCCUACAAGCCCGGCCACGCCUGCCCGCGACUCUUCUACCUAGAGGUGGCAGACUACAUUCCGGAGGACGCCGUCGCCGCCGACCUGGCCGCCCCAGAUGUCGAGAAGGUGUUUGACGCUGGUUGAUUACCUCGAAGAGUUCAAGCAAGCGCUUCCCCACCUUACAGCUCGAGGACGAGCUGUUUGUGCAGGCGGGGAGAAGUGUUAUGGCCGGCCGGCUUAGGCCCGCAAGUUAUCUUAGUUUUUAUUUUCAGAUUAGGCAAGUUAUCUUAGGCAAGUUAUCUUAGGUUGAUUCUUCUACAAGUUAUCUAGGAUAUAAAUAUAGGUUGUAAGACUCUUUUUGAAGGCAAGCAAUAAGAAGAAUAUUAUCUCCUAUUGCCCGGCUCCCUGAGGAGCCGGAACCCUAGCCGCCAACAGCCCUAGCCGCCGCCCUUCUCCUAGCCGCGACGGCGCCCUGCCGCCGGCGCGCCCGAUCCUCGCCACGUCUCCCUCCAUCCUUCCCUUACCAUCUACGCCCUAGACCUGGUAGAGUACUUGAUCCUACCAUAGAAUGAUUGAUUAAACAGAAAUCUGAUUUUUAACUGUAACAUACCUGAGCAUUGCUUACCUUUAUAUGCUUCUUGUUGUAGUAUGUCCUUGGUAUGAGACUCAAAGUAGUAAUUUUGCAAAACUUCCAAUAAUCCUACUUUUGUCAUUUUUUGAUUAAUUACCACAUAGUUAGAAUGAUGGAUUAGCCAAAAAUCUGAUUUACAACUAUGACAUACCUGAGCCUUGUCUAUCUUUUUAUGCUUGUUAUUGUAGUAUGUCCUUGGUAGCAAACUCUAGUAAUUAGGAAAAUCUUCCGAUGAUACUUUUGAUCCUUUCACCUCCUUUCUCUUAGUAUUGUAUGCAAAAAUUAAUCUAAUGCCAUUGUUCAAUGGGUCAUAUUUUGUGCCUUCCACAACCUUAAUAUUGUUAAAUGGAUAAAUAAAUUUCUCAAUUAUCCUUUGAUCUAUAAGUAUCUAUCCGAUUUUUACCUAUGGUAGCAUGAGUUGUUUGGUCCUCUAUCAAAAUAACUAAAAUAUAUACUUAUCAUCUAUUGUUUGAACCAUAGAAUAGUCUGCAUUUAAAAUUGUAUAGAAUAAACCAGCUCAUCUGUGAAGAUCACAUCAAGCUUCACUUAUCGAUUGUUUUUGGAACAAUAGAACAGUCUGCAAUUAAAUAUGUAUAGCAUAAACCUGUUCAUCCAUCAAGAUCACAUCAAGGCUCAUAAGUUCAUCGGUUGUAGGAUUGAUUAUAUCCCAUGUUCUUGUUACUUUCACUUAAAAAUCCCAGUUUUGGUCUCUUAUUGAAGCCUCUCAGCUUCUUGUAUUCCCAAGCGUUUUCACUUGCAAAGGAUUAAAACGCACCGCUUCAAAAGGAUUGAAAAAGUAGUUGUCAAUUGAUAAUGUGCAUAUGAAGAUUGUAGCUGACAAAAGUGAGUUCAUAGUAAUAAUAAUUACUAACCAUGUUGAUUCAGGUGAGAAGGAAACUCAGACGGUUGGGUGUGACUCACGUAGAAAUCGAGUUGCAUGCCACUUCAUAAUUUGGGCUGCCUUAGAUAUUUGCGGAGCGCCAAGUCCAAACAUCUCGCGUCACCGAGUCUGUUGGCUUCAACUGUCCUCGUGGUGGCAUCGUCGAGUCACGGCAUCCUAGAGUUGGUUGGCUUCAAUUUUCCUGGUCGUGUCGCUGAGUCGUGAGUUGCUGGGCGUCUUAGAUUUCCAGACUGAAGAUGGGCGUGUUUGGCUGCUGGGUGUGGUCGGCCGUGUAUUUUUUUGGAUGAGUUCUGGCUGUGUCCUUAUGGAGUCCUUGUAUGUUUAUAUUUCCAUAAACGCUAUGUGUGAAUAGUCUGGUGGAUGCGGCCAGCCAUGUAUUUUUGGGGGCGUGUCUGUAUGCACUCCUUUUGGCUGACCAAGUUACUAAUGUGUCCUUCCGAGUUCCGAUUAGGACUUGUACGUGACAAUAGUUGGGUAUGUAACCUCCACUGUCCAUAUCUAAUAUAUUAGUUGUAGAGAUAAUUUAAUCUUUAAUUUUUUUUGAACCAGUGCUUCCUUCUAUGACUCCAUUGAUGUACCUUAUGCAUAUAGAGGUGACAGUUCAAUUUCCUGACAUGUACAUAUUCACGUGUUAUGUGAAAUCUUUAAAUCUGAGUCAUUGUUAUUC